ACGAUCUAGGUCAGUCGGGCUUCAUCCGGCAGUCGCAACGCACCAGCACGGAUCACGCUGCUGGGCCCAAGGAGUACACGGGAAUAUCGACGCACAAUGGAAGUGGGGGCGCGCCUGCUGCUGACGCUGUUUGUGGUGCCGGGGUUGCUGGUGCCGGCCCUGGAGGCGGCCGAGGUGCUGGGCCUCUUCCAGUCGCCGGGCCGCAGCCAGUGGGUGCUGGCGGAGACGUACCUGAGGGCGCUGGAGCGGCGGGGCCACCGCCUCACCGCCGUCACCACCUUCCCCUCCAGCCAGGGCAGCACCGGGGGCAACUGGACCGAGAUCCUCAUACCGAACCCUGUCAACGAAGUCGGCGAUCUCAACGUAUUCGAAGAGGCGGCGACGGGAGUCUUGGACUUGAUGAAACAGUUCUUAGAAUUUGCUGAAAAAACGUGUCACGGAUUUCUGAAAGACGAAAAUGUACAGAAUUUGCGCAAGUCGGGCAAAAAAUUUGACGUCAUUGUUUUGGAGAAUAUCUUCACAGAAUGCCUACACGGAUACGCUCAUGGUCUGAAAGCACCUGUGAUCGUUCUGUCUACCUUCGGGGGAACGGACUGGAUGGCCGACAUGGUGGGAAAUCCGACCCCGUAUUCUUACGUGCCGAAUCCAUUCCUCGAGUUAGGCACGCACAUGAGUUUUCUCGAGAGACUUCAGAAUACACUUGUUGGGAUAGUAGGAAAAAUCGCCCGACAGUUAGUGUAUCUGCCGAGGCUGGAUUCAAUUUUACAGACGUAUCUGAAGGAUCCAUUACUACCUUCACUGUCCGAAAUCGAGAGACAGACGUCGCUUCUGCUGGUUAAUUAUCACUUCAGCCACGGAUGUCCUCGGCCACUUGUACCGAGCAUGGUGGAAGUUGGUGGACUGCAUGUCAGGCAACCAAAGAAGCUGCCCCAGGAUAUACAAAAGUUUCUGGACGAGGCCACAGACGGGGCGAUAUACUUCAGUAUGGGCUCUAACGUGCAAAGUGUUCACUGGCCUGAGGAGAAGCGGUCCGCCUUCCUGAAGGUGUUUUCGCGGCUGAAGCAGCGAGUCCUGUGGGCAUACUGGCCCACAAGAACGUGCAGGCGUUCAUCACGCACGGCGGGCUGCUCAGCACGCAGGAGGCGACGGCCAGGGGGGUUCCUCUGGUGGGGAUCCCUGUGUUUGGCGACCAGCUGCUCAACAUGGCGCAGGCGCAGAGGCAGGGCUACGCGGUCACGCUGACCGUCAGCAACGUCACAGAGGCGUCGCUGCAGUGGGCGCUCGACGAGGUGCUCACCGUCCCCAGGUACCGAGAGAACGCCCAGCGGCUGUCAAGGAUCUUCAACGACCGCCCGGUGAAGCCACUGGACGAGGCUGUCUACUGGACAGAGUACGUGAUCAGGCACCACGGGGCACCUCACCUCAGGUCCGCGGCGCUGGAC